GACGAACGCUGGCGGCGUGCUUAACACAUGCAAGUCGAGCGGUAAGGCCCUUUCGGGGGUACACGAGCGGCGAACGGGUGAGUAACACGUGGGUGACCUGCCCUCAGCUCUGGGAUAAGCCUGGGAAACCGGGUCUAAUACUGGAUAUGACUCCAUGACGCAUGUUGUGGGGUGGAAAGCCUUGUGCGGCUGAGGAUGGGCCCGCGGCCUAUCAGCUUGUUGGUGGGGUGANGGCCUACCAAGGCGACGACGGGUAGCCGGCCUGAGAGGGCGACCGGCCACACUGGGACUGAGACACGGCCCAGACUCCUACGGGAGGCAGCAGUGGGGAAUAUUGCGCAAUGGGCGGAAGCCUGACGCAGCGACGCCGCGUGGGGAUG
rnacentral:rRNA from 1 species